rnacentral:rRNA from 1 species
UACGUAGGGUGCGAGCGUUGUCCGGAAUUAUUGGGCGUAAAGGGCUCGUAGGCGGUUUGUCGCGUCGGGAGUGAAAACACCGGGCUUAACUCGGUGCUUGCUUUCGAUACGGGCAGACUAGAGGCAUGCAGGGGAGAACGGAAUUCCUGGUGUAGCGGUGAAAUGACGCAGAUAUCAGGAGGAACACCGGUGGCGAAGGCGGUUCUCUGGGCAUGUCCUGACGCUGAGGAGCGAAAGUGUGGGGAGCGAACAGG